UCAGUUGAGAUUUAACCUGAAAAUAUUUGCUAUUAUGAAAUUAUCGCAAAGUUCACAUUAUAAUCACAUCUUUCAUAUCGACAAAUAUGAUUUUAAAAGUUCAAGUUUGGCACCUCAUUUAUUUUGAGCGAAUUACAGGAAUGACCCCCAUAAAGGUUGGUUCCUGAAUUUUUGGAGCCCAAAAAGUAGUAUGUGCAAUAAGAAGAAAGUGAUGUAAUGUAUUAAUUGCUACAAACAAAAAAUAUUAGUCCUGGUUAGACAUUGCAACAAGUGUAGAACUCUUCAAUACUAACUAUUAAACUUGGUAUCUAUAAUGUCUUUCACUGCAGCAACUUUUUCCUCCUCCUGAGAUCGCUCCUCUCAUAUCUUCUCUUGCUCCUCACAUAUCUUCUUUAGCUCCUCACGUAUCUUCUUGAUCUCCUUAUGUAUCUUCUCUAGCUCUCGAGAUCGCUCCUCAUGUAUCUUCUCUCGCUCCUGACGUAUUUUCUCAAGCAUUUCACGUAUCUUCUUUCGCACCCGAGAACGCUCCAACUUUUGAAGUUGUAUCUCUGCUCUGCCUUUCUCCUGUGCAACUUGAAUAGGUGUUGUUGUUGUUGGUUCCAUGAUUGUAUAUGAGAUAAUUAAGAAUAUUGCUUCGUGCCUGGAUUAUUAGAUCCCCACUAUAUCCCCUAUAUAUAGAUCCCAAUAGUCCCAAACCUAUAAGGAAAAUGCUCUCCAAACUCUACAAGAAAUAUAUUUUUCUUUUCCAAAUCUAUUAG
rnacentral:lncRNA from 1 species